rnacentral:ncRNA from 10 species
AUCGUUCAUCUCUUAGGAGACGGAAGUAGGUGAGAACCGAAGGAACGCCAC